rnacentral:rRNA from 1 species
ACGAACGCUGGCGGCGUGCCUAACACAUGCAAGUCGAGCGAGAAAAGGGGGGCGAACUCCCUCGAGUACAGCGGCGCACGGGUGAGUAACACGUAGGUGAUCUCCCCUCGAGCCUGGAAUAACCUACCGAAAGGUGGGCUAAUACCGGAUAUGACCACGGAAGCCACGGCUUCUGCGGUGAAAGAUGGCCUCUACCUGUAAGCUAUCACUCAAGGAUGAGCCUGCGUGCCAUUAGCUAGUUGGUGAGGUAACGGCUCACCAAGGCGAUGAUGGCUAGCUGGUCUGAGAGGAUGACCAGCCACACUGGGACUGAAACACGGCCCAGACUCCUACGGGAGGCAGCAGUGGGGGAUAUUGCGCAAUGGGCGAAAGCCUGACGCAGCGACGCCGCGUGGGUGAUGAAGGCCUUCGGUCGUAAGCCUGUCGAGGGGGAAGAAUCGGUUGCGACCCAACACGUCGUAG